rnacentral:lncRNA from 1 species
GAGGGCUGUAGGUUUGAGCUUUGUGGCACUUUAUUGUGAUCAUUGGAAUAAAGCUGGGGCUGCAUUGGGUACGGCAGGAGCCCCACAGGAGAACCUAACCUCUAUUAUUCCUUGUUUUUAGUCAUGGGCAAGGCUAAUGGGGUCCAGACUAGGACAUGGCUGUUCUUGCAUGCGUUUUUUCAAAUGGCUAUGAUGCUGUUUCAGGUGCAAGUCAUUGUCAGGCCUUUUACAUAUUAACUAAACUUUAUAGGAUUGUCUGAUUUCUCUCUUUUUCUUCAACCAAAGUAACAGUUGGUUGGUGAAUAAAUACCUUCAUUGUGUUAGGUGUGACAGCUGAAACUAUGGUGAUUGAUGUUUGACCAUUUCUCGAUUUUGAUGCAACCUCUAAAGAUUUCAAGUUAGGAUCCUAUA